AGAACGAACGCUGGCGGCAUGCCUAACACAUGCAAGUCGAACGAGACCUUCGGGUCUAGUGGCGCACGGGUGCGUAACGCGUGGGAAUCUGCCCUUGGGUUCGGAAUAACAGUUGGAAACGACUGCUAAUACCGGAUGAUGACGUAAGUCCAAAGAUUUAUCGCCCAGGGAUGAGCCCGCGUAGGAUUAGCUAGUUGGUGAGGUAAAGGCUCACCAAGGCGACGAUCCUUAGCUGGUCUGAGAGGAUGAUCAGCCACACUGGGACUGAGACACGGCCCAGACUCCUACGGGAGGCAGCAGUGGGGAAUAUUGGACAAUGGGCGAAAGCCUGAUCCAGCAAUGCCGCGUGAGUGAUGAAGGCCUUAGGUGUAAAGCUCGUUUACCCGGGAAGAUAAUGACUGUACCGGAGAAUAAGCUCCGCUAACUCCGU
rnacentral:rRNA from 1 species